rnacentral:other from 1 species
UAUUACCUGCCGUGUCCGUAAGCUUUUUAUGCUUUGAACCUUGAAUGUUAAAAGGGAGUUUUACAUGAGUAGAGCAACGCUAAGCUAGCUUGUACUGGACAGCGAAACUCUAACUGCGAACACCCACCUACCAAAGUAGGUUCGUAAAGCAUUCAUUUGCAACGGCACAAGCGGGUAUGAC